rnacentral:rRNA from 1 species
UACGGAGGAUGCGAGCGUUAUCCGGAUUUAUUGGGUUUAAAGGGUGCGCAGGCGGGGGAUUAAGUCGGCGGUGAAAUUUUGCAGCUCAACUGUAAAAGUGCCUUCGAAACUGGUUUCCUUGAGUGUAGAUGAAGUAGGCGGAAUUUGUGGUGUAGCGGUGAAAUGCAUAGAUAUCACGAGGAACUCCGAUUGCGCAGGCAGCUUACUAAACUACUACUGACGCUCAGGCACGAAGGCGUGGGGAUCAAACAGGAUUAGAUACCCGCGUAGU